rnacentral:rRNA from 1 species
UACAGAGGGUGCGAGCGUUAAUCGGAAUUACUGGGCGUAAAGCGUGCGUAGACGGUUAUGUAAGUCGGGUGUGAAAGCCCCCGGCUCAACUGGGGAGGGUCACGCGAUACUGAUCGACUCGAAGGCAGGAGAGGGUAGUGGAAUUCCCGGUGUAGUGGUGAAAUGCGUAGAUAUCGGGAGGAACACCAGUGGCGAAGGCGACUACCUGGCCUGUUCUUGACGCUGAGGCGCGAAAGCUAGGGGAGCAAACGGG